UACGGAGGGUGCAAGCGUUGCUCGGAAUUAUUGGGCGUAAAGGGUAGGUAGGUGGUCUUAUUUGUCUGGGGUGAAAGCCUUGAGCUUAACUCAAGAAGUGCCCCAGAAACGGUGAGACUGGAGUCCUGGAGAGGGUCGUGGAAUUCCCGGUGUAGCGGUGAAAUGCGCAGAUAUCAGGAGGAACACCCGUGGCGAAAGCGGCUCUCUGGGACGGUACUGACGCUGAGACGCGAAAGCGUGGGGAGCAAACAGG
rnacentral:rRNA from 1 species